UGCAGUUGACUUCAAGGCAAGAAGGCCUGAGAUCCCAAGUAUUGUAAAUAGACAUGUGGCUGCCAUAAUUGAGUCCUGUUGGGCCAGCGAGCCAUGGAAAAGGCCUUCUUUUUCUAGUAUCAUGGAAUCCUUGAAGCCUCUAAUCAAGACUCAGUCACCUCAACCGUUACAUUCUGAUAUGUCUAGUAUCCAAUAGCCAGAUGAUUGCAUAUUCCUAAGAGAGAUGUGUAUUGUAUCUAUUCUACUUGUCAAAAAGGGUCCCCUUCAAAUUUUGCCUGUCAGAGGAUCAGUGCCAAUGAAGCUGCUGCCAGUUUUCAUUGCAUCACCGCCAACACGUUUGAUCUAAUCAGCUAUAGAUAUUUUUCAGUAAAUUGAAGUUCCAUUCGCGUUUAUAUGUAUAUUUUGUUUAACCCAGGUGCAUUAUAUUUUUAUCCGAGCUUACAUUGAAAAAAGCUUAUUAGGAAAGAGCACAAGCCUUUUGAGGUUGUGUUGCAAUUUCAAAGUGAUAUCAGCAUGGAACUUGUAUAUUGCUAGCCUUUUACCGUCAGUUAUCUAAUCAAAUGUGUGCAUUCUGAA